GUCUCUGUGGUGCAAUUGUGCAUUAGGCUGUUAACCGAAAGGUUGGUGGUUCAAGCCCACCCAGGGAUG
rnacentral:tRNA from 1 species